GUACUUUUAAAUUUUAUUUUUUGAUUUUAAUUAUUUUUUAAUUUUUUUAAUAAAAUCAAAAUUUUCAAAUCAGUACUGUCUUCUCUGUGGAAUCGAUUCAAUUCACUAUUUUCUAUAUAUUUUUAUGUUUUUUAAAUCUCAUUUAAAUUGAUAAUCACGAUAUCUUAAUGAUAACAUCGUGAGAUAUCAGUUGCCAUACGAAUUCGAACUCUUUCUAGUUUCAUCAAAUAGAUUUACAUCGAUCUUCAAUUGAUCUGAAGUAGAAUACGGCCAGGAGUUAGGGGUCUGUGAAAGUUAUAAAAAAGAUCCCAAGAAGAAUAGAAAAAUC
rnacentral:lncRNA from 1 species